UACGGAGGUUGCAAGCGUUGUUCGGAAUUACUGGGCGUAAAGGGAGCGCAGGCGGCCAAAUAAGUCUGAAGUGAAAGCCCGGGGCUCAACCUCGGACGUGCUUCGGAUACUGUUUGGCUUGAGUUCGUGAGAGGAGAGGGGAAUUCCAGGUGUAGCGGUGGAAUGCGUAGAUAUCUGGAGGAACACCCGUGGCGAAAGCGCCUCUCUGGCACGAUACUGACGCUGAGGCUCGAAAGCGUGGGGAUCGAACAGG
rnacentral:rRNA from 1 species